rnacentral:rRNA from 1 species
GAUGAACGCUGGCGGCGUGCCUAAUACAUGCAAGUAGGACGCUGAAGCUUGGUGCUUGCACCGAGCGGAUGAGUUGCGAACGGGUGAGUAACGCGUAGGUAACCUGCCUCUUAGCGGGGGAUAACUAUUGGAAACGAUAGCUAAUACCGCAUAAAAGUCGAUAUCGCAUGAUAUUGAUUUGAAAGGUGCAAUUGCAUCACUAAGAGAUGGACCUGCGUUGUAUUAGCUAGUUGGUGAGGUAACGGCUCACCAAGGCGACGAUACAUAGCCGACCUGAGAGGGUGAUCGGCCACACUGGGACUGAGACACGGCCCAGACUCCUACGGGAGGCAGCAGUAGGGAAUCUUCGGCAAUGGGGGCAACCCUGACCGAGCAACGCCGCGUGAGUGAAGAAGGUUUUCGGAUCGUAAAGCUCUGUUGUAAGAGAAGAACGAGUGUGAGAGUGGAAAGUUCACACUGUGACGGUAACUUAUCAGAAAGGGACGGCUAACUACGUGCCAGCAGCCGCGGUAAUACGUAGGUCCCGAGCGUUAUCCGGAUUUAUUGGGCGUAAAGCGAGCGCAGGCGGUUAGAUAAGUCUGAAGUUAAAGGCUGUGGCUUAACCAUAGUACGCUUUGGAAACUGUUUAACUUGAGUGCAGAAGGGGAGAGUGGAAUUCCAUGUGUAGCGGUGAAAUGCGUAGAUAUAUGGAGGAACACCGGUGGCGAAAGCGGCUCUCUGGUCUGUAACUGACGCUGAGGCUCGAAAGCGUGGGGGAGCAAACAGG